ACACAUGCAAGUCGAGGGGCAGCAUGGUCUUAGCUUGCUAAGGCCGAUGGCGACCGGCGCACGGGUGAGUAACGCGUAUCCAACCUGCCUUACACUCUUGGACAGCCUUCUGAAAGGGAGAUUAAUACAAGAUGUUAUCAUGAGUAAGCAUUUUCGCAUGAUUAAAGGUUUACCGGUGUAAGAUGGGGAUGCGUUCCAUUAGAUAGUAGGCGGGGUAACGGCCCACCUAGUCUUCGAUGGAUAGGGGUUCUGAGAGGAAGGUCCCCCACAUUGGAACUGAGACACGGUCCAAACUCCUACGGGAGGCAGCAGUGAGGAAUAUUGGUCAAUGGACGAGAGUCUGAACCAGCCAAGUAGCGUGAAGGAUGAAGGUUCUAUGGAUUGUAAACUUCUUUUAUACGGGAAUAAACGGAUCCACGUGUGGAUUUUUGCAUGUACCGUAUGAAUAAGGAUCGGCUAACUCCGUGCCAGCAGCCGCGGUAAUACGGAGGAUCCGAGCGUUAUCCGGAUUUAUUGGGUUUAAAGGGAGCGUAGAUGGGUUGUUAAGUCAGUUGUGAAAGUUUGCGGCUCAACCGUAAAAUUGCAAUUGAUACUGGCAGUCUUGAGUACAGUUGAGGUAGGCGGAAUUCGUGGUGUAGCGGUGAAAUGCUUAGAUAUCACGAAGAACUCCGAUUGCGAAGGCAGCUUACUAACCUGUAACUGACAUUGAUGCUCGAAAGUGUGGGUAUCAAACAGGAUUAGAUACCCUGGUAGUCCACACGGUAAACGAUGAAUACUCGCUGUAGGCGAUAUACAGUCUGCGGCCAAGCGAAAGCAUUAAGUAUUCCACCUGGGGAGUACGCCGGCAACGGUGAAACUCAAAGGAAUUGACGGGGGCCCGCACAAGCGGAGGAACAUGUGGUUUAAUUCGAUGAUACGCGAGGAACCUUACCCGG
rnacentral:rRNA from 1 species